rnacentral:lncRNA from 11 species
CGAGGGUGUUAGUUUUGCUGUGUAGAGCGGAGAACAGCGAUGAGCAAUGUGCUGUGUGUGUGCAUGAGUUUUUCGGAAAGGACUCAUGGAGGAGAAAGGACUGAAUUUGCUCUAUCUGUAAAUAGAUCAUGUAAAUAAAGUUGUUUGCCGUUGGACUACCAACUGAACCCUCAUCUGCUGGAGUGAGUUUGUCCAGUGCUGUUUUCCACACCGGGAGACAAUCUGGAGAGAAGGAGGCAGACCGGGAUGGACACUCAGGUCCUCUGGGAGGCAGAUACUCCAACCAGCCAGAAUUGCCAGCCAUCACCCAAAAUACGUUUUCAUCAGUUGCCCGAAGACUGUGGAAUGAACUGUCAGAAGAGAUUCAACAACUAAAUCAGCUGUCUGAAUUCAAGGUACAAGGUGCUCUUCUAGCAGGCCAGCCU